rnacentral:rRNA from 1 species
GAUGAACGCUGGCGGCGUGCCUAAUACAUGCAAGUCGAGCGAACGGAUGCGAAGCUUGCUUCUCUCAUUUUAGCGGCGGACGGGUGAGUAACACGUGGGUAACCUACCUAUCAGACUGGGAUAACUUCGGGAAACCGGAGCUAAUACCGGAUAAUAUUUUGAACCGCAUGGUUCAAAAGUGAAAGACGGUCUUGCUGUCACUUAUUGAUUGAUCCGCGCUGCAUUAGCUAGUUGGUAAGGUAACGGCUUACCAAGGCCACGAUGCAUAGCCGACCUGAGAGGGUGAUCGGCCACACUGGAACUGAGACACGGUCCAGACUCCUACGGGAGGCAGCAGUAGGGAAUCUUCCGCAAUGGGCGAAAGUCUGACGGAGCAACGCCGCGUGAGUGAAGAAGGUCUUCGGAUCGUAAAACUCUGUUAUUAGGGAAGAACAUAUGUGAAAGUAACUGUGAACAUCUUGACGGUACCUAAUCAGAAAGCCACGGCUAACUACGUG